UGAAGCCUGGGAUGACGCAAUCCAUGGGUUGUGAGAGGCAACUCAAGUUUUUCCAGCCGCCUGUGGAUUCUCAAACUACAGUAGGAAGGCAGCUUUUGUACAUCCACUCUUGCAGAUCCAGUGACCACAGAUGAGGCCAUCUUUUUUUCACACAGUAAGAGCGGGAUUGGAAUAGAGAGAUGGGGAAUGAGACAGAGAGGAGGCUUGCCACCUCCAUUUGAGCAUCAUUGCUUGGGGAAAGGCUGAAGCAAACAUGGCCCUAAUCAGUUUUACAUCUCUGUUUAAUUUUAUUGGAAAGAAGAGCUGGCAAUGCAUCACAGAGGCCGGG